UACGUAGGGAGCGAGCGUUGUCCGGAAUUACUGGGUGCAAAGGGAGCGUAGGCGGGGAUGCAAGUUGGGUGUCAAAACUACCGGCUCAACUGGUAGUCGCACUCAAAACUGCAGCUCUUGAGUGAAGUAGAGGCAGGCGGAAUUCCUAGUGUAGCGGUGAAAUGCGUAGAUAUUAGGAGGAACACCAGUGGCGAAGGCGGCCUGCUGGGCUUUUACUGACGCUGAGGCUCGAAAGUGUGGGGAGCAAACAGG
rnacentral:rRNA from 1 species